rnacentral:rRNA from 1 species
GAUGAACGCUGGCGGCGUGCCUAAUACAUGCAAGUCGAGCGAACAGACGAGGAGCUUGCUCCUCUGACGUUAGCGGCGGACGGGUGAGUAACACGUGGAUAACCUACCUAUAAGACUGGGAUAACUUCGGGAAACCGGAGCUAAUACCGGAUAAUAUAUUGAACCGCAUGGUUCAAUAGUGAAAGACGGUUUUGCUGUCACUUAUAGAUGGAUCCGCGCCGCAUUAGCUAGUUGGUAAGGUAACGGCUUACCAAGGCAACGAUGCGUAGCCGACCUGAGAGGGUGAUCGGCCACACUGGAACUGAGACACGGUCCAGACUCCUACGGGAGGCAGCAGUAGGGAAUCUUCCGCAAUGGGCGAAAGCCUGACGGAGCAACGCCGCGUGAGUGAUGAUGGUCUUCGGAUCGUAAAACUCUGUUAUUAGGGAAGAACAAAUGUGUAAGUAACUAUGCACGUCUUGACGGUACCUAAUCAGAAAGCCACGGCCAACUACGUG